CGGUAGAGAGAAGCUUGCUUCUCUUGAGAGCGGCGGACGGGUGAGUAAUGCCUAGGAAUCUGCCUGGUAGUGGGGGAUAACGUUCGGAAACGGACGCUAAUACCGCAUACGUCCUACGGGAGAAAGCAGGGGACCUUCGGGCCUUGCGCUAUCAGAUGAGCCUAGGUCGGAUUAGCUAGUUGGUGAGGUAAUGGCUCACCAAGGCGACGAUCCGUAACUGGUCUGAGAGGAUGAUCAGUCACACUGGAACUGAGACACGGUCCAGACUCCUACGGGAGGCAGCAGUGGGGAAUAUUGGACAAUGGGCGAAAGCCUGAUCCAGCCAUGCCGCGUGUGUGAAGAAGGUCUUCGGAUUGUAAAGCACUUUAAGUUGGGAGGAAGGGCAUUAACCUAAUACGUUAGUGUUUUGACGUUACCGACAGAAUAAGCACCGGCUAACUCUGUGCCAGCAGCCGCGGUAAUACAGAGGGUGCAAGCGUUAAUCGGAAUUACUGGGCGUAAAGCGCGCGUAGGUGGUUUGUUAAGUUGGAUGUGAAAUCCCCGGGCUCAACCUGGGAACUGCAUUCAAAACUGACUGACUAGAGUAUGGUAGAGGGUGGUGGAAUUUCCUGUGUAGCGGUGAAAUGCGUAGAUAUAGGAAGGAACACCAGUGGCGAAGGCGACCACCUGGACUAAUACUGACACUGAGGUGCGAAAGCGUGGGGAGCAAACAGGAUUAGAUACCCUGGUAGUCCACGCCGUAAACGAUGUCAACUAGCCGUUGGGAGCCUUGAGCUCUUAGUGGCGCAGCUAACGCAUUAAGUUGACCGCCUGGGGAGUA
rnacentral:rRNA from 1 species